GGGGUGAGUGACACGUGGAUAACCUACCUAUAAGACUGGGAUAACUUCGGGAAACCGGAGCUAAUACCGGAUAACAUAUUGAACCGCAUGGUUCAAUAUAGUGAAAGGCGGCUUUGCUGUCACUUAUAGAUGGAUCCGCGCCGUAUUAGCUAGUUGGUAAGGUAACGGCUUACCAAGGCAACGAUACGUAGCCGACCUGAGAGGGUGAUCGGCCACACUGGAACUGAGACACGGUCCAG
rnacentral:rRNA from 1 species